UUUUGACCUCGGAUCAGGUAGGGAUACCCGCUGAACUUAAGCAUAUCAAUAAGGCGGAGGAAGGGAUACCCGCUGAACUUAAGCAUAUCAAUAAGCGGAGGA
rnacentral:rRNA from 1 species